GACGAACGCUGGCGGCGUGCUUAACACAUGCAAGUCGAACGGAAAGGCCCUGCUUUUGUGGGGUGCUCGAGUGGCGAACGGGUGAGUAACACGUGAGUAACCUGCCCUUGACUUUGGGAUAACUUCAGGAAACUGGGGCUAAUACCGGAUAGGAGCUCCUGCUGCAUGGUGGGGGUUGGAAAGUUUCGGCGGUUGGGGAUGGACUCGCGGCUUAUCAGCUUGUUGGUGGGGUAGUGGCUUACCAAGGCUUUGACGGGUAGCCGGCCUGAGAGGGUGACCGGCCACAUUGGGACUGAGAUACGGCCCAGACUCCUACGGGAGGCAGCAGUGGGGAAUAUUGCACAAUGGGCGGAAGCCUGAUGCAGCAACGCCGCGUGCGGGAUGACGGCCUUCGGGUUGUAAACCGCUUUCGCCUGUGACGAAGCGUGAGUGACGGUAAUGGGUAAAGAAGCACCGGCUAACUACGUGCCAGCAGCCGCGGUGAUACGUAGGGUGCGAGCGUUGUCCGGAUUUAUUGGGCGUAAAGGGCUCGUAGGUGGUUGAUCGCGUCGGAAGUGUAAUCUUGGGGCUUAACCCUGAGCGUGCUUUCGAUACGGGUUGACUUGAGGAAGGUAGGGGAGAAUGGAAUUCCUGGUGGAGCGGUGGAAUGCGCAGAUAUCAGGAGGAACACCAGUGGCGAAGGCGGUUCUCUGGGCCUUUCCUGACGCUGAGGAGCGAAAGCGUGGGGAGCGAACAGGCUUAGAUACCCUGGUAGUCCACGCUGUAAACGGUGGGUACUAGGUGUGGGGUCCAUUCCACGGGUUCCGUGCCGUAGCUAACGCUUUAAGUACCCCGCCUGGGGAGUACGGCCGCAAGGCUAAAACUCAAAGGAAUUGACGGGGCCCCGCACAAGCGGCGGAGCAUGCGGAUUAAUUCGAUGCAACGCGUAGAACCUUACCUGGGUUUGACAUGGAUCGGGAGCGCUCAGAGAUGGGUGUGCCUCUUUUGGGGUCGGUUCACAGGUGGUGCAUGGCUGUCGUCAGCUCGUGUCGUGAGAUGUUGGGUUAAGUCCCGCAACGAGCGCAACCCUUGUUCACUGUUGCCAGCACGUUAUGGUGGGGACUCAGUGGAGACCGCCGGGGUCAACUCGGAGGAAGGUGGGGAUGACGUCAAGUCAUCAUGCCCCUUAUGUCCAGGGCUUCACGCAUGCUACAAUGGCUGGUACAGAGAGUGGCGAGCCUGUGAGGGUGAGCGAAUCUCGGAAAGCCGGUCUCAGUUCGGAUUGGGGUCUGCAACUCGACCUCAUGAAGUCGGAGUCGCUAGUAAUCGCAGAUCAGCAACGCUGCGGUGAGUACGUUCCCGGG
rnacentral:rRNA from 1 species